UAUUUUGUGAACUGUAAUCAGAUUUAUUAUAUGAUGCAAAGAACACAACAUAUUUGAGAUUUCUUACGUUUGAUUAUUCAUUACUAAAAAUAAACAUCUCUCACUUUAAGGGGAUUUUCUGCAUUGUUUUUUCUUAAAUAAUUGAUGUGAAAGCAUUUGAGAUUAUUGGCUGAGUAAUAUAAAUGACGGUUUGAUUUUAUCGCUCAGAAUACAUGGUGCAUUUUAGACAGAGUGUCAUCAAUAUUUACACGAAGAUAUGUUGGUUUUAUUAUAAUGUGUUCCAACCUACGUAUAUGUUUAAGUUCUAAUGCCUACUAGACAUAUUGGAACGUUAAUUAUGAAAACUGUACCUUUUUCUCAAUGCGAAAUUCACGCUCACACAGAUUCGACGAGUGUGUGCAUUGUUUUGUAAUCAACAUGUAUGGGAAAUGUUUAUCCAUUUUAUAUUAUCGAUUGUGUUUGAAAUUUAUACAUCAACAUAAUAUUGUCAAGGGCUAAAAGGCAUUAGUUAUUUCUAGUGAUGCAAUAUUUGGCGCAUUUUAUUUAAUUUUUGUUUAAUUUUACAUAGCUUAACUUUUAAUUAAACAUAGGUUUAUCUAAAAGUAUGUUUUCAAAUAGGAAACAUGAAUAUGCAAUUAUCAACGACGUUUUCCUGCUAGGGGUAUUAAGGAUUUUACUUAAUUAUACACUGGGCACUAACAGGUCUUAUUGGAAAUAAAUUGCGUAAAGGUUUACAUAUGUGUAAAACAACUGGUAUAGCUAGUAAAUGAAAUUACCAAAUUUUAUGUAGUCAUAUUGAAACAAAUAUUUCACGAUUGAUGCUCUUUCGAAAAAAAGAAUUCUGCGGUGAUUAAACAUUUACAUGCGUACACUAAAGAGAAAAUACUAUUAAUGUUACGAUGUUUGAUGAAACGAUCUGAAAACAUUCAACCCCGAUUUUUUAGAUACUUAUCUACCUGUUGUGAUUGCCUCAACAUCUGCUAACCUGUUGAGCAAUCUUCAUUAUUUAGUAACCUGUUGUUCACGCCUCCUUAUCAAGUAACCUGGCGUGGAAUCUUCAUUCUGUAUGCCGAUGCAUUCAAUACAACUGCUGGUGCCUAAGAUCUUACUGCAGCACGUUUAGAUGAUGAAGGUAACACCAGACAUGAUGAAUCAGAAGGGUUCCGUAGACAGGGCAGUGUGUCCAACCAACAAGACCUGGUUCAGUGGGAAAAUGCCUCCGUUGAAACAUGCACUGUGAUCAGCUUGCUCGGCUAUGGUCUGGAGAUCAUACAUGUUCGGAGAGACGCAUACAGGGAGCACUGCAGACUGAGGACUGCACGGGCAAAUGGAACAAUAACGACUAUUAUUACGGGUAGCAAGGCUGGGGGGGGGGGCUGACCCGCUUCCUUGAAAGUGAUAAAGACAUCAUGUUUGUACGCAAUAAUUUCGUUUGUUUAGAAGAUUGUGUUAGUGCUGACAAAUUUCCUAGAGAGAUAACCGUGUUUAGAUCAUACAGUCGUAUGAGUUACCCUGGGCACUGUAGACUGCUACUAGAAAGACGCGGUACAACGACUGACUGGAACGUAACCCAUGCGUUGUGUGAUGAUGGGCAUGGUCACGAACUCCUGAGCAGUGACUUAUUUUUACAUAACUGUAGGAAAUGUAAAUGCAUGAAAGGCAUAGUGCAGCAUGAUCGCUCGGGGCCGCCAAUGCCUAAUACAUUGUCCGUUACACUGCCCCAGCAUCCUGUCUAAAUGGGCCGCAAGACCUCGCCACUGGCCGCUACCGAAUGUCGUUCAGCAGGUCGUAUCACUUGGGGCAUUUCUUACGCCUGUUGGAUUUAAAGGUAGUGAAUAUCAACAUGUUGAAUGGAGAGUUUGUUUCAACGCCGGUGAGAUCGGACUAGUAAACAAUCUUAAUGAAACUCAAAAUAAAUUGUAUUUUCUAUUAAAAAUGGUCAAAAACGAUGUUUUAA